rnacentral:rRNA from 1 species
UAGGGAAUAUUGCACAAUGGGCGCAAGCCUGAUGCAGCAACGCCGCGUGCGCGAUGAAGGCCUUCGGGUUGUAAAGCGCUUUUCUGGAGGAAGAGGAAGGACGGUACUCCAGGAAGAAGGAUCGGCUAACUACGUGCCAGCAGCCGCGGUAACACGUAGGAUCCGAGCGUUAUCCGAAUUUACUGGGCGUAAAGCGCGUGUAGGCGGUUCGGUAAGUUGGACGUGAAAUCUCCCGGCUCAACUGGGCGAGGUCGUUCAAAACUGCCGGGCUAGAGGGCGGUAGAGGGAGGUGGAAUUCCCGGUGUAGUGGUGAAAUGCGUAGAGAUCGGGAGGAACACCAGUGGCGAAAGCGGCCUCCUGGACCGCACCUGACGCUCCAGACGCGAAAGCUAGGGGGAGCGGAACGGGAUUAGAUACCCCGGUAGUCCCUAGGCCGUAAACGAUGUGGACUUGGCGGUGGGUGGGUAAAAGCCAUCCGUGCCGAAGCCAACGCGAUAAGUCCACCGCCUGGGGACUACGGCCGC